rnacentral:rRNA from 1 species
GACGAACGCUGGCGGCGUGCUUAACACAUGCAAGUCGAACGGUGACGAUCAAGCUUGCUUGGUCUGAUCAGUGGCGAACGGGUGAGUAACACGUGAGUAACCUGCCCCAGACUCUGGGAUAACCCCGGGAAACCGGAGCUAAUACCGGAUAUGACAUGCCCCUGCAUGGGGAGUGUGUGGAAAGUUUUUUCGGUCUGGGAUGGACUCGCGGCCUAUCAGCUUGUUGGUGAGGUAAUGGCUCACCAAGGCGACGACGGGUAGCCGGCCUGAGAGGGCGACCGGCCACACUGGGACUGAGACACGGCCCAGACUCCUACGGGAGGCAGCAGUGGGGAAUAUUGCACAAUGGGCGAAAGCCUGAUGCAGCGACGCCGCGUGAGGGAUGACGGCCUUCGGGUUGUAAACCUCUUUCAGCAGGGAAGAAGCGCAAGUGACGGUACCUGCAGAAGAAGCACCGGCUAACUACGUGCCAGCCGCCGCCGUAAAAC